GAAGGGGUCUCAUACAAGCUCUUAGCAUAAUCAUGAACAUAAGUAAAUAGAAAUGAUGCAAAAGUUAAAUUUUUUUACAAUAGAAGUCUUUUUCAUAAAAGAAACAUAAGAGUCUAGACCUUGUCUCAAAGAAACCAUCUAAUACAAUCUUAGGGACAUAGCCAUUUACAACAUAGUCUUGAAUACGGAAAGUACAAAAGGAAACUAGAAAUGAAUAAGCCUUGUCCUCGAACCAUGAG
rnacentral:lncRNA from 1 species